GUAGGUGACAAGCGUUGUCCGGAAUUAUUGGGCGUAAAGCGCGCGCAGGUGGGUUCUUUAAGUCUGAUGUGAAAGCCCCCGGGCUCAACCGGGGAGGGUCAUUGGAAACUGGGGAACUUGAGUGCAGGAGAGGAAAGUGGAAUUCCACGUGUAGCGGUGAAAUGCGUAGAUAUGUGGAGGAACACCAGUGGCGAAGGCGACUUUCUGGCCUGUAACUGACACUGAGGCGCGAAAGCGUGGGGAGCAAACAGGAUUAGAUACCCUGGUAGUCCACGCCGUAAACGAUGAGUGCUAAGUGUUGGGGGGUUUCCGCCCCUCAGUGCUGCAGCUAACGCAUUAAGCACUCCGCCUGGGGAGUACGGUCGCAAGACUG
rnacentral:rRNA from 1 species